GAUGAAGAACGCAGCGAAAUGCGAUAAGUAGUGUGAAUUGCAGAAUUCAGUGAAUCAUCGAAUCUUUGAACGCACAUUGCGCCCCUUGGUAUUCCAUGGGGCAUGCCUGUUCGAGCGUCAUUUGUACCUUCAAGCUUUGCUUGGUGUUGGGUGUUUGUCCCGAGGGACUCGCCUUAAAGUAAUUGGCAGCCAGUGUUUGGUUUUGAAGCGCAGCACAAGUCGCGAUUCAAGGCUACACGCCCGCUUCCACAAGCCUUUUUUCACUUUUGACCUCGGAUCAGGUAGGGAUACCCGCUGAACUUAAGCAUAUCAAAGCGGAGGA
rnacentral:misc_RNA from 1 species